rnacentral:rRNA from 1 species
UAGGGAAUCUUCCACAAUGGACGCAAGUCUGAUGGAGCAACGCCGCGUGAGUGAAGAAGGUUUUCGGAUCGUAAAGCUCUGUUGUUGGUGAAGAAGGAUAGAGGUAGUAACUGGCCUUUAUUUGACGGUAAUCAACCAGAAAGUCACGGCUAACUACGUGCCAGCAGCCGCGGUAAUACGUAGGUGGCAAGCGUUGUCCGGAUUUAUUGGGCGUAAAGCGAGCGCAGGCGGAAAAAUAAGUCUAAUGUGAAAGCCCUCGGCUUAACCGAGGAACUGCAUCGGAAACUGUUUUUCUUGAGUGCAGAAGAGGAGAGUGGAACUCCAUGUGUAGCGGUGAAAUGCGUAGAGAUGUGGAGGAAUACCGAAGGCGAAGCCAGCCCCUUGGGAAUGUACUGACGCUCAUGUGCGAAAGCGNGGGGGAGCAAACAGGAUUAGAUACCCUGGUAGUCCACGCUGUAAACGCUGUCGAUUUGGGGUUGGGGUUUAACUCUGGCGCCCGUAGCUAACGUGAUAAAUCGACCGCCUGGGGAGUACGGCCGCAAGGUUA